rfam:Dictyocaulus viviparus strain HannoverDv2000 D_viviparus-1.0_Cont466.3, whole genome shotgun sequence.
GCCUCGGUAGUGUAAUGGAUAAGCACGGCAGACCGGAUAUCUGUAAAUGCGCGUUCGAAUCCCGAUUGAGGUC